GGAUGUGAGGGCGAUCUGGCUGCGACAUCUGUCACCCCAUUGAUCGCCAGGGUUGAUUCGGCUGAUCUGGCUGGCUAGGCGGGUGUCCCCUUCCUCCCUCACCGCUCCAUGUGCGUCCCUCCCGAAGCUGCGCGCUCGGUGGAAGAGGACGACCGUCCCAGAUAGAAGGAGUGUACCGUUCUUCGGUCAAGGGUAUACAAUAGCUGCGCUCCCCUGCUAGAACCUCCAAACAAGCUCAAGAAGGCAUUGAGGAGUUCAGCCCUUUCUGU
rnacentral:snRNA from 1 species